UCCCUAUAUACAAUUCGGUCACCAUGGGGAUGGGCUGGGGCCUUUUCCUGUUGGUCCAGACCCCUCAAUCUGCCCAGAGAAGCCACGACAGAAGAGUGGUGAUUGGUGCAAGCGACAUGGGAUGAGAACCACUGGACCACCAGGGAAGUCCCAUGACUUUAAUUUUUUAUUUACCCUAUGGGUUCAGCACUGAUCAAGGUAUUGAGUGAACUGGCUGGCUCUCACUAAGUAUGGCCUUUAAAGACUAUCUACUGCAUUCCCCUUGGCAAAAUUUCAAUGGAGGUGCUUUACCCAAGUCUACUGAUGGAAUCUGACAUUUGGAAAAAGGGGACAAAACUUGAAGAGGCUCAAAGGCAUCCUGAGAAGAGAAGAAAGAGAAGGAAGUGUAAAAGACAGUAGUACCAGCCUGGGUGCCUGGUAUUCCCCCAGAGGCCAACAGUCCUGGACCUCUCACCUUUUGAGGAUGAUAAUUAGGGUUCCUGAAGCCGUAGCCAGACUCUUCUGCAGGUUUAGAGAGAGGGUCGCGAAAAUUCAGCUGCGGCGCCAUCUGCUGGAAGCGCCGCGACCCUGCAAGACCGUGCCGGGGAAGGAGAAAACGGGUUGCAGGUGAAGGUGUGGACUUUUGCCCAGGAAAGCCUCUGCCACCAAGGUAGCAUUUACAUGCAGUCCCCUUAUCUAAAAAGAGACUAAAAUGACCCUACAAGAAAAUGGCCUCGGUUUUGAGGAGCCUUCCGACCUAAAUGAACUGACAUAUGUUAUAUGGGUGUUCUCAGGAAAACCUGGGGCUUUAGGAGAAAAGGAGGCUUAACUCAUUUCAUUACUCCCGCACGAUUCUCAGGUGCAAAGCUGAAAACUAAAACUCUAUUUUCCACCAGUGCACACAGAGAAGUAUCAGGCAUAGAAGUCACAAUGUAUUUGUUCUCUUGAAUGGAACCGAUUUUGCUGAAUGGAAGGAAAUUUAAAAGCUGAAGAGGGUGACAGAAAUAAAAUUAAUCUGGGAGUGGGGAGGUGUUAAAAUGUGGCCUUGGCCGUGGUUUGAUAUAAGGUCACUAAACCCUGCUACCAUUUUCCAGACUCUUAAGUCAGUUCUGAUUUACUUGAUGAUUUUUCUGUUUAGGAAGCUUCAGGCUCUUUCCACACAAGGGUCUAAACCCAUUUUCAAACACAUUUAUAUUCAUACUUCAAAUCUCAAUUCACCAUUGCUGGAAACUUUGUUAAAGGCCAUAAUUAGAAAACUCACGGGGAACUGGAAGAAAGCAAGAUUUAGAGCAGAAUUACAGUUGGCCCACCCAUCUGGAAAAAUAUGGUAUCACAAUAGGAAACAUUUGUAAUGGAAAAAUGUUAUAAAACUGACCCUCCAGAGCUUGAUAAUAACAUUCUAACAAAAAUGAGUUUUUGUUUUCUGGGAUGAGCUUAUAAUGGUUUUCCUGAAAAAGAUGAAGUAGCUUUACCAACAAUAUAACCUUUUGGAACCUAACUGGUUAUAUAGUUCUUCGGGUCCAUGUCAUGUGACUUCCAUAUACAGUCAGUGUUUUAUAAAGACAUCCUUUGGUGCUUCGAUAACUAAGCCCUCAUGGAUGAGACCUACCUGAUCCUACUGCCACAGUGAAUACUUUUAUAGAGAAAAUGUUAACCCUCCAUAUGGAUGCUUGAAGAAAAUAAACUAGGAAAACAGGAUGAGAAAUAAGAAUCCAUUGUGAUGAUGCAUGGAUGGACUGUAUCAGAGAACUAGAAGAUUGAGUAUAUUUUCUAUUUUGAAUGAGCAAAGAGUUAUUGGGUACCAAAUUGUUACCAGUAGAGACAAUAUUUUUUAAUUAAUUAAUUUAUUUUUGGCUGCAUUGGGUCUUCGUUGCUGUACAGGCUUUCUCUUCGUUGCGGUGUGUGGGCUUCUCAUUGCAGUGGCUUCUUUUGUUGCAGAGCACAGGCUCUAGGCGUGCAGGCUUCGGUAGUUGUGACACACAGGCUCAGUAGUUGUGGCAUGCAGGCACAGUAGUUGUGGUGCAUGGGCUUAGUUGUUCCGCGGCAUGUGGGAUCUUCCCGGACCAGGGAUGGAACCCUGCGUUGGCAGGCAGAUUCUUAACCACUGCGCCACCAGGGUAGCCCAAGUAGAGGAAAUAUUUGAUGGCUGAUGCCACAUCUAUCUUACCUCUCUUCUACCAAUGUACUUGUGAGGAGUGUCUUUCAUAGAAAUAAAUAGCUUGAUAACAAAUCAGCAGUGUGAGUGGUGGCAUGCAGUGGAAUUGAGCAUCCCUUGGUGAAGGUACUUUCAGGGUCUCUGGUUUAGGACAGUGCAGGAGGGGAUCAGAGGUGGAGCAGUGAGAGCCAGAUAACUUAAGCCCUCGUGAUCUCUUCAAAAUUCAGAAACUGAAUUUUUCUCUUCUAUGGUUCUUAUUGUUUCAUUAGCUUAUUUGUUUAGAGGGUGCCUGCACCCUCAGAACAGAGCCCCAUGUACAAACUUCCUGUGACUUCUUCACAGAUGUCUCAAGAGUAUUCACUGAGCACUAUUUCUGGUGAACCCAAUAUAAAAAGUCUACACAUUCCCCCAGCAAUUGAGCUUGGGGUUCAAAUAUUUUGUGUUUGGCAAAACGCAGGGAAAUUUUUUCUAGAGAUGACCUCUCCCUUGACUUUCAGCCUGUUCUAAAUUGGGCUUUAGAGAGAAAUGUGACCAUUCUUUCAAAAACAUGAAACAGAUUGAACUUGGUAGACGUUUCUGUCUGGACCCUAGAAUUAGGUAAGUGUGUCUCUCACGGUCAAAAUCCUGACUUCACAGAGGACUCGCCUUAACAAUGUCAAUUCAACUCACUUUUGUUCUCUCAGCACCAGUCAGUCCUCUUCUCCUCACUCCCUGCAAAAUGUCAAGCUAACUCUUGCUCCUCAGUGGGUCUUGGCUUUCUGGACACUUCCUCCAAGACUUCCUUGACCUUUCCAGGUGAAGGGAGGGUGUCUCUGCUGAGUUCCCAACACGUUGUGGUUCCCCAUCAUAGCUCUGUCAUACCAUAUUCUAUUGCUUAUCUGUCUCCCAUACCAGACUCUUAAAUCCUGUGAAGACAUGCUAAGGCUAUUAUUAUGUUCAUUUAGCAUCCUCAGUGCCUAAUUAGUGCUUCAGUCCAAGCAGAUAUUAAGUUUUCAACAUACAGAGAUGGGAAGAAAGGGUAUUUCUGAUGGAGGAACUGACAUGAGCACACACACAGGUAUAGACUUUGAAGAAUGCCCAGGAGCAUGAGUAUGGUUUGGCUGAAGCCUGAAAGGGACUGACAGGAGAUAAGAUGGGAAAGAGCCUGGGGUGGUUAUGAAUAUUGUGAAUAUUAGUUUAAGGCAGUGGUCAUCAGAAGUUGAAAUAGUUGCAAAUGGUGACAUUUUUGGUGUGUUGUAUAUCGGAUGAGUACUUUGCAUAUAUUUUCAUUAGCAAGGCGGAGGCACAGAUCUAGCCCAUUUCACUUAAGGAAAAUAUCACUGAAUUGGCAAAACUGGUGUACAUGGUCAAACUGGGCAGUUAAACAGAAUUAUUUUCUAUCAGAAAAAGGUUAGCUCCAUUUUUAAAUUAAAAACACCAUGUAACGGGACUUCCCUGGUGGUCCAGUGGUUAAGAAUCCGCCUACCAAUGCAGGGGACAUGGGUUCAAUCCCUGGUUGGGGAACUAAGAUCCCACAUGCCGCGGGGCAACUAAGCCUGCAAGCCACAACUACUGAGCCUGUGUGCCGCAACUACUGAGGCUGCAUGCUCUAGAGCCCGAGCGCCACAACUAGAGAGACGCCUGUGCGCUGCAACGAAAGAUUCCGCAUGCCUCAACGAAGAUCCCACGUGCCGCAGCUAAGACCCGACACAGCCAAAUAAAUAAAUAAAUAUUUUAAAAAUUAAAAAAAAAAAAAGAACCCAGUGUAUUACUUCAAGGUCUUCCACCACCUCACUUGUGACUUCUAAUUCUAAGAUAGUCACUGUGCAAGGCACAGAGGCUUACCAGGAAUUUGUUCAGGGGAUGAAGAAGCUGCUGCUCUGUCAGUGUUUCUUACUUGGCUCUGAAGAGAUUCUCCCUCAGGCAUAAUGCAUUCUCAAAUCAUCCCUUGCUUUGGGGACAAAACAGUUCAGGACGGCUGAGGAGUUUCUGUUGUGAAGGGUCAGAGCAAUUGGAAAGGGGAGGCUGGAAAAGAGAAAUCAGCUCAACGUCAGCCAUUUCUUGGCAGAUCACUUUCAGGAAAGGAAAUAUUUGGUACUUAAGAAUCUGGAAAUUGAACCUCUUAAUACUAUCUACGCUAUGUACCCUUAGUUACCUAGAUCCCAGUUUGAAGACUGUGGUUUUAAAAAACCUGGAUCUUGGACUUCCUUGGUGGCGCAGUGGUUAAGAAUCCGCCUGCCAAUACAGGAGAAACGGGUUCGAUUCCUGGUGUGGGAAGAUCCCACAUGCCGCGGAGCAACUAAGCCCGUGUGUCACAACUACUGAGCCCACACUCCAGAGCCCGCACGCCACAACUACUGAAGCCCACGUGCCUAGAGCCUAUGCUCCGCAGCAAGAGAAGCCACCACAAUGAGAAGCCCGCGCACCACAACGAAGAGUAGCCCCCGCUCGCCGUAAGGAGAAAGCCUGCCUGCAGCAACGAAGACCCGACGAAGCCAAAAACAAACAAACAAACAAACUGAAACCUGCAUUUUAUCCUACAGAACAGUGAUCUCCAGAGUGGAAUAUACACGAGGUACAGAAAGGAAAUAUUACAAAUUCUGUUUAUACUUUUUAAAUGUCAUCCUCUUAAACUUUCUAUGUUGGUAGAUGUUUACAAUUUAUAUAAAAUGAGCAUAAUUGUUGACUGCAGGUGCGAACAAGGAAUAGUGCCAGGCAUCAGGGAAGAUACAAAGAGGUAUUCCCUGCCUUCAGAGAGCUGGCAGCCUAGCUGACACAUGAAAAAGCAAGUAACAAUAGUGAAUGCUUGGCUAACUAAAGGGAGGGUAAAAGGGAAAAAAUUUAAAAGAAUGUGGAAAGAGCAAUUGUUUUUUAUUCUGCUUUUAAACAUGCAUUUCCUGCAGAAAGAGCUGAAUUUUCAGUAAGGCCCUAAAAUGGUGAUAGUCUUGCCACACUAUUUUCAUUUCAAAUUCCAAGCAUUCUAUUUGGUCAUGUUUCUUUUUCUCCAUCUUUAACCACCAAAUUGAUGUUUUAUUUCUGAGUCAGGGGACCAUGGCUUUCAGUUCUUAGAAGAAGAAAUACCUAAAAAUGUGAGAUUAAAAAGGAUUUAUCCAUAGUCCUGGUCUUUCAGAAGAUAUCAACAUAAUGGUUAAAAUGUCCAGGGAAAAAGGAAGUUAGGGGAGUAAUUUCAGUAGCUUCCCUAUUUUUAGAAAUUCUGCUAUGAUCAAAAUUUCCCAGGGAGAGGGAUUUUUAAGUUCCCAAAGAACAUCAUAAGGCAUAAUGAUACAUUAUAGUUGUGUAUAGUAGAUCCACUCUCAAAGGAGUUUCAUGAUCUUAUCCUUGCAUUCCCACCAUUUAUGUCUCUAUUGAGUGUGAGGGUGAUAAAAGAGGUCAAGAGGCAUCCCAGACUCAGUCUGAACAGAAGCUCAGGCCUCCUGACAAAAACUGUGUUGGAAAAGAACCCUGAGGUGUCCAUCCAGGUGCUUACUCAGACCCCACCCUCCUCACAAUAACUCCAUAGGCAUUGUUUUAGCCAUUUAACAGAAUAAAAGAAAAGGAAAAAAAAAAAAACAAGACUUGGAGAAGAUAAGUAUACUUGCCGAAUACACAAUUGCUAAGUGGCAGAGCUGGAAUUCAACCAAUGUCUGCUUUAUUCAAAGCCUGUUUUACUUCCUGGGAGGCAACUGAUAAUUUUUGAUGGGACAGUCUCAAAAAUGUGGUAGAGGUAGAAGACAGAUAACACAGGGUUUAGUCACUUAUUAUUCAUCAUAUAUUUAUUGACGAGGGUGGGACUUCCAGGUGUGGCAGAGUGAAGAGGUGGGCAAAUCAACUCCCCCCCCAAAAGCAACUUACAAACCUGGAAAAAAUUGGUGAGAACCACCAUUUUAGCACCUUGAAAAUCGACCAAAGGCAUAGAAUAAUCUGAGAAGUGUUUGUGCUUGAACAACUGCUGAAAUUCAGUAAUAACAGUGGGACUCUGUGGCAUCCUUGCUUGAGGAUGCUUCCAUUUUCCAACCCUCUCCCCAGCCCGGUCAGCAUGGAGAUUUUGCCAGGAUGGGGGGAUGCUGUGAGGACUGGCACAGUCAAAGAGGGCUCACUUGAAUUGGAGCAGGAGAGGGCCAAUGGUACUACCAACCUGAGGUUGCAGUUGUGGCUGGGGGAAGAGUAUUCCUGGCUGAGGUUGUGUACAUUUGCAGCUGAGAACAGAGGAUCUAAGACAGCCACAUACUCCUGUCUGACUUUGAGGAUUUGAGCAUGGAGGAGCUGUGAAAGGGCCCAAUGAAAAGUAAAAGUAAAAGCCCAAGUAGAAUUGAAAACAGCCUGAACUUUAAAUUUGUUCCCCUGCCCACACACCCAUUACUAGAGGACAGAAGCCAGUUUCUGUCCCAACACUGGCUAACCUUUAGGCUACUUAGACACAGGAGUGACCCCUAGGAAGCCAGACUUAAAAAUAAAAACAAGAAAAAAUCAACUGAGCAGAGAUAUCGACAGCCACACCCUUCAGAGGAGACAGAUUUCAUAGAUUUAACCAAGGCAUGUUACUAAACACACAAACACAAAAGACAGCCUUAAGGGAGAACUCAGAAUCCAGAGUUGCUACAAUAUAGUAUUUAAAAAUCUAGCUUUCAAAUAAAAUAUGCAAAGAGAUAGGAAAGUAUGACUCAUUCUGAGGGAAAGAAAAAAUCAAUAGACUCUGUCUCCGAGAAGUUGGAUUUAUCAGGCAAAGACAUCAAAGCAGUUAUUAUAAAUAUGUUCAAAGAACUAAAAGAAAUCAAUGUUUAAAGAAUCAAAAGAAAUUAGGGCAAUAAUAUAUCAACAAAUAAAGAUGCUCAAUAAGGAAACACAUAACUUAAAAUUUUAAAAAUGUAAUUUCUAGAGGUGGAAAUAAGCAAUACUUGAAACAAAAAAUUCACUAGAGGGGCUGAAAGGAAGAUUCAAGUUAGCAGAGAAAAAGAAUCAGUGAACUUGAACCGAAGAGAUCAACCGAAAUUAUCUACUGAAGAAUAGAAAGAAUGAAAAUGGAAGAAAAGUGAAGAGAGCCUCAGAGACUUGCGGGACAACAGACCAACAUGUGUGUAAUGGGAGAGGGAAGAAGAGGUCAGAAAAAAAAAAAAAUGUCUGAAAACUUCACAAAUUUGAUUAAAAACAUUAAUCUACACAUCCAAGUAGCUCAACCAACCCAACUAGGAUAACUACAAAGAGAUCCACACCUAAACACAGCAUACAAAUUGUUAAAAACCAACAAUGGAAAGAAAAUCUUUAAAGCAUCAAAAGAAAACCACCAUGAUGGGACUUCCCUUGUGGCACAGUGGUUAAGAAUCUGUCUGCCAAUGCAGGGGACACAGGUUUGAUCCUUGGUCCGGGAAGAUCCCACAUGCCGCAGAGCAACUAAGCCCGUGCACCUCAACUACUGAGCCUGCGCUCUAGAGCCUGUGCUCUAGAGCCUGCGAUCCACAACUACUGAAGCCCAUGCACCUAGAGCCCGUGUUCCACAUCAAGAGAAGCCGCUGCAAUGAGAAGCCUGCGCAGCGCAACGAAGACCCGAUGCAGCCAAAAAUAAACAAAUAAAUAAAUACAUUUUAAAAAGAGCUUAAAAAAAACUCUAUAUUGAUGGGUUAUAACAUGUACAUGUGAGAUAUAAUAACACUUAAUGUAUUAUUAUGUAAUACAGAUAUAACUAUAUGAUAAAUAAUAUUAAGUGUUAAUACAAGGAUAUAUUUGAGAUAUAUAUUAUAGCACAAAGGAGGGUCUGGGAUAGAGUUAUAUUGGAGCAAAGUUUCUAUAUUUUACUGAAAUUAAGUUAGUAUUAAUCUGCAAUAGAUAGUAGUGAAUUAAGAUGUAUAUUAUCCCUAUAGUAACCAUUAAGAAAAUAAUUUUGAAAUAUAUGGUAGGGACUUCCCUGGUGGCGCAGUGGUUAAGAAUCUGCCUGCCAGUGCAGGGGACAUGAGUUCGAGCCUUGGUCCAGGAAGAUCCCAACAUGCCGCGGAGCAACUAAGCCCGUGUGCCACAACUACUGAGCCUGCACUCUGGAGCCUGCAAGCGACAACUACUGAGCCCACGAGCCACAACUACUGAAGCCUGCGCGCCCAGGGCCUGUGCUCCACAACAAAGAGUAGCCCCUGCUCGCCUCAACUAGAGAAAAGCCCACAAGCAGCAACGAAGACCCAAUGCAGUCAAAAAUAAAAUAAAAUAAAUAAAAUAGUUGGCUUAAAAAUAAAAUACCAAUAUUUGGAAAUAAAAAGGAGACAUCAAUGUUUACCCUACAAGAAUUAAAAUAUUGGGACUUCCUGGUGGUCCACUGGUUAAGAAUCUGCCUGCCAAUGCAGGGAACAUGGGUUUGAUUCCUGGUCCAGGAAGAUCCCACACGCCGCGGAGCAACUAAGCCUGCGCACCGCAACUACUACUGAGCCUCCACGCCACAACUAGGGAUAAGCCCUCGCACUGCGUUGAAGGUCCCGCAUACAGCAACUAAGACCCGAUGCAGCCAAAUUUUAAAAAUUUAAAAAGAGUCUAGGAGGGACUUCCCUGGUGGUUCAGCGGUUAAGAUUCCAUGCUUCCACUGCAAGGGGCACAGUUUCGAUCCUUGGUCAGGGAACUAAAAUUCCACAUGCCACGUGGUGCAGCCAAAAUAAUAAUAAUAAAAAUAAAUUGUUAUAAGAGUUUUGGAGACCAAGGAGGAAACAACAAUGGCAACUGAGAAAGAGCAGCCAGGAGGAAAACCAGAAGGGUCCCGGAAACCUAGUGAAGAAAGUGCUAAGUGAAGUGUUUCACAGUGUCAAAUGAUGUUGAUAGAUUAAAUAAAAUGAGAACUGGGAGUGACCAUUGGAUUUGGUAAUGUGGACGUCAUGGGUGACUUUUGGAAAAGUGGUGAGGGUUAAAGUCUGAUUCCAGCGGGUUCAAAGAGUAGUAGGAGGAAACUGGAGGUAUUGGUGGUAGAUAAUUCUUUGCUAUAAAGAUGAGGAGAGAAAUGGGAUAGUAGCCACAGGCAGAAGUGAAAUCAAGAGAGGUUGUUUUGGAGAUGGAAGAGCAUAUCUUAAUGCUAAAAGUAAACGUAGAAUAGAGGGGGGAAAUUGAUGCAGGAGACAGAAAAGAGAAUCACUAGAGUAAUAUCCUCGAGUAGGCAAAAGUGGAUGGGAUAUAAUAUACAAGUGGAAAGGUUGGCCUUGAAUAAGGGCAUGGGCAGUUUAUUGUCAGUAGCUAGAAGACAGGCAGAAGUGCAUGGGGACAGUCACAAAUAGGUAGAGUGUUAAGAAAAAUCACCCCAAAUUUGGAAAUAGGCUAACAGGAUUACUGGGUAUCUUUUUAGUGAAGAGCUGUGCUCCAUCCAGCAGGCCCUCUGGGGAUUAUCUCAUUUUCUAAGGGCCACUACCUUUGCUUGACUUUCUACUUAUUAUUGAUUAGGAUAUUUAACAAUUCUGUUUCUCUUCUUUAAUAAACUUAUUUAUUUAUUUAA